rnacentral:lncRNA from 1 species
CGUUGCACAAACUUCAGUGACAACGCGAGGACGAGGUGGUGAGGUACUUUAUACAAUACAAUACUGGCUUAUACAUUUAGAGCCAGAAUUCCUCUUAAAAAAACAAUACUCCAGGUAUACCUUGGAUAUGGGAAAUACGAGCAUCUAGGGAAUCAUUAACAGUAAGAGUUAACAUGAUGUUUCUGGUAACUGAUUAUGUUAUGCGAG